rnacentral:lncRNA from 1 species
UCGACCGAUACACCUUUGCCAACAUCGAUCGAUUGUCAAUUGAGGACAUCGAUCGACGGGUUCUAGUCAGGCCUAUGCGUGAGUAUGAAAUGCCCUACUAAGAUUCUUAAUUGGCGGUUAGCCCUCUCUAGCAUUCCUAAUAUGAUAGAUAGAUGUCAGGAUGGGAUAACAAAGGUGCUUGAAUAUGCAAUCCUAUGAUCAAGUUCUAGUUAGCAAGGUUAAAACAAGCAAUGAAUACAAAUCUAUCAAUAAUAUCACAACAAGGCAGAUCUAUAGUUUGGGGCUAAUCCCACAAACUUAUCUGAACCCUGGAUCUAACAGUUGAACUACUCAGACAUAGCAAAACAAUUCAUAUCAAUAGAGAAAUAAGAACUCAUAGAAUAGAUGAAAAGAAAUAGAAACAAGGAGUUCCAAUCACAAGUGAUCUUCUCUCCAAAAUGAAACUUGUAACAAACUAGGUCUAGAAAAGCUCUCCCUAACCGUCAAAACACUUGCAGUAUAUAUUCUACUAGGUUAAAAACUCGUCAGAGCAUUUUGGUAAUUUGGCUUGGCCUUGGUUCUUAAGUCUGCUGAAUCCAAAAUGUCGCGUCUGGUGUCUCGACAUCGAUCGAUGGUAUUUGUGUACAUCGAUCGAUAUUAAUCUUCAACUAUCAAGGCAUUUCCUGAUAUCGAUCGUCAGCACUGAUGCGCAUCGAUCGAUUAUUCUUCCUCUCGUCGACUUCUAAGUGGUCAGCCCGGGUGAAAUGUCUUUUAUGCUCCAAAAUGCUCCAAAGUCAUAGCUUUAC